rnacentral:rRNA from 1 species
AGAUAAGUCCCUCUCUUCGGAGACCUCAAUACAGGUGGUGCAUGGUUGUCGUCAGCUCGUGUCGUGAGAUGUUGGGUUAAGUCCCGCAACGAGCGCAACCCUUAUCUUUAGUUGCCAGCAUUUCGGAUGGGAACUCUAAAGAGACUGCCGAUGAUAAAUCGGAGGAAGGUGGGGAUGACGUCAAAUCAUCAUGCCCUAUAUGCCUUGGGCUACACACGUGCUACAAUGGAAGGUACAAAGGGAAGCAAAAUAGUGAUAUUAAGCAAACCUCAAAAAGCCUUUCUCAGUUCGGAUUGUACUCUGCAACUCGAGUACAUGAAGAUGGAGUUGCUAGUAA